CAACAAUGACAUCGUGGAGGCUGGAUGGGACAAGCUUAACUCCAGGUAAAAAACCUCCUCUAUUUAUAUAGGAAGUGGGCAGGAGUACACCCCAUCACCGCCUUAGUCAUGCAUCAGAUGUCACAACCCUAAUGGCUCUAAAAGUCAUGCCUUCCAAGAAAAGGUGCCCUAGUCAUUCCCUUUGAUAAAAUGCCAUUUUGGAGAUUGUAAGUAUUAAAGAUCGCAUGCGUCAAGGCCCCUAAAUCACACAACUCUUCAUUACAUAGCCCUCGAAAUAAACCACCUAGAUCGACUUGCAAGGCAUAACGUAGGGCCCACUGAUAUCCAACAUGUGGCAGACUCCAACGAGCAUGGAGGUAAUCUCUGGAUCUCCUUUUCUAAGCCAUCACGUCGUGGUGCUUUGAACUCCCCAUCCCUCAUAAUUAUGGCAAGAAUAGAAAAUAGAUGCAUUAAUGAGGUCCCAAUCCACCAGACACUACAAAAUGAAUAUUUCGAGGAAACAAGCCA
rnacentral:lncRNA from 1 species